CCUACGGGGGGCUGCAGUGGGGAAUAUUGGGCAAUGGGCGCAAGCCUGACCCAGCAACGCCGCGUGAAGGAAGAAGGCUUUCGGUUUGUAAACUUCUUUUCUCAGGGACGAAGACAGUGACGGUACCUGAGGAAUAAGCCACGGCUAACUACGUGCCAGCAGCCGCGGUAAUACGUAGGUGGCAAGCGUUAUCCGGAUUUACUGGGUGUAAAGGGCGUGUAGGCGGGUAAGCAAGUCAGAUGUGAAAACCGUGGGCGCAACCUGUGGCCUGCAUUGGAAACUGUUUGGCUUGAGUGCAGGAGAGGUAGACGGAAUUCCUCGUGUAGCGGUGAAAUGCGUAGAUAUGAGGAGGAACACCAGUGGCGAAGGCGGUCUGCUGGACAGCAACUGACGCUGAGGCGCGAAAGCGUGGGGAGCAAACAGGAUUAGAUACCCUAGUAGUC
rnacentral:rRNA from 1 species